AACUGGGUCCCAGUCUUCAGUUGGUUUCUGACACGUGGACCUGGCUGGGACGAUGUG
rnacentral:miRNA from 1 species